UAUCGCAAGGUAGAGUCUGGAGAAAGCUUAAAGCAAAUUCUUGACUCGACGGACAGAAAUCACAUAUUAAGGCUAUAUAGAUUGGAAGAGUUUGCAACACAAGUUGAAGUCAAAUACUACACAAAAUUUAUGCAGUAAAUGUGAUGAGUAGAUGAGAUGAAAGUA
rnacentral:ncRNA from 1 species